UAAUACGUAGGGGGCGAGCGUUGUCCGGAUUUAUUGGGCGUAAAGCGCGCGUAGGCGGCGCGACAAGUCGGCCGUGAAAGCGCCAGGCUUAACCUGGCGAGGUCGGGCGAGACUGUCGGGCUGGAGGCAGGCAGAGGGCGGUGGAAUUCCGGGUGUAGUGGUGGAAUGCGUAGAGAUCCGGAGGAACACCAGUGGCGAAGGCGGCCGCCUGGGCCUGUCCUGACGCUGAGGUGCGAAAGCGUGGGGAGCGAUCCGGAUUAGAUACCCGGGUAGUCCACGCCGUAAACGAUGGGCACUAGGUGUCGGGGGUAUCGACCCCCUCGGUGCCGGCGCUAACGCAAUAAGUGCCCCGCCUGGGGAGUACGGCCGCAAGGCUA
rnacentral:rRNA from 1 species